GCCGCAAUGAUAACAGGUCAUGUCUGCAGAGACAUUCUUUACCUUCUUCUUCUUAAAGGUGCUUCUUUUAGGGUUCAACUUCUUUCCUUUCUUUGAACCCUUUCUGCCAUAUUUAUUCUUGUCCACCAUAAGAAGUGGACCUUUCUCUCCCUUUAUAUGAUUUUCAACUAUUUUCAACAUAUUUAAUAGCUCUGGCAGGGAUAUGUCUAGUUUGUUCAUGUGAUAAUUCACCACAAACUGGGAGGAGUCUGGAAGAGAUUGAAGAAUUAAAUCUUGACUGAGUUUCGCAUCCAUGUUGAAAUCUGAUUGACCUAAUCUGGUGAUCAAGUCAAUCAUCUUUAGC
rnacentral:lncRNA from 1 species